GGUUAAGCGACUAAGCGUACACGGUGGAUGCCCUGGCAGUCAGAGGCGAUGAAGGACGUGCUAAUCUGCGAAAAGCGUCGGUAAGGUGAUAUGAACCGUUAUAACCGGCGAUGUCCGAAUGGGGAAACCCAGUGCAAUUCGUUGCACUAUCGUUAACUGAAUACAUAGGUUAACGAGGCGAACCGGGGGAACUGAAACAUCUAAGUACCCCGAGGAAAAGAAAUCAACCGAGAUUCCCCCAGUAGCGGCGAGCGAACGGGGAGCAGCCCGGAGUCUGAAUCAGCUUGUGUGUUAGUGGAAGCGUCUGGAAAGUCGCAGGGUACAGGGUGAUACUCCCGUACACUAAAACACACAGGCUGUGAACUCGAAGAGUAGGGCGGGACACGUGGUAUCCUGUCUGAAUAUGGGGGGACCAUCCUCCAAGGCUAAAUACUCCUGACUGACCGAUAGUGAACCAGUACCGUGAGGGAAAGGCGAAAAGAACCCCGGCGAGGGGAGUGAAAAAGAACCUGAAACCGUGUACGUACAAGCAGUAGGAGCCCACUAGUUGGGUGACUGCGUACCUUUUGUAUAAUGGGUCAGCGACUUAUAUUCUGUAGCAAGGUUAACCGAAUAGGGGAGCCGCAGGGAAACCGAGUCUUAACUGGGCGUUAAGUUGCAGGGUAUAGACCCGAAACCCGGUGAUCUAGCCAUGGGCAGGUUGAAGGUUGGGUAACACUAACUGGAGGACCGAACCGACUAAUGUUGAAAAAUUAGCGGAUGACUUGUGGCUGGGGGUGAAAGGCCAAUCAAACCGGGAGAUAGCUGGUUCUCCCCGAAAGCUAUUUAGGUAGCGCCUCGUGAACUCAUCUUCGGGGGUAGAGCACUGUUUCGGCUAGGGGGUCAUCCCGACUUACCAACCCGAUGCAAACUACGAAUACCGAAGAAUGUUAUCACGGGAGACACACGGCGGGUGCUAACGUCCGUCGUGAAGAGGGAAACAACCCAGACCGCCAGCUAAGGUCCCAAAGUCAUGGUUAAGUGGGAAACGAUGUGGGAAGGCCCAGACAGCCAGGAUGUUGGCUUAGAAGCAGCCAUCAUUUAAAGAAAGCGUAAUAGCUCACUGGUCGAGUCGGCCUGCGCGGAAGAUGUAACGGGGCUAAACCAUGCACCGAAGCUGCGGCAGCGACGCUUAUGCGUUGUUGGGUAGGGGAGCGUUCUGUAAGCCGUUGAAGGUGGCCUGUGAGGGUUGCUGGAGGUAUCAGAAGUGCGAAUGCUGACAUAAGUAACGAUAAUGCGGGUGAAAAACCCGCACGCCGGAAGACCAAGGGUUCCUGUCCAACGUUAAUCGGGGCAGGGUGAGUCGACCCCUAAGGCGAGGCCGAAAGGCGUAGUCGAUGGGAAACAGGUUAAUAUUCCUGUACUUGGUGUUACUGCGAAGGGGGGACGGAGAAGGCUAUGUUGGCCGGGCGACGGUUGUCCCGGUUUAAGCAUGUAGGCGGAUGUUCCAGGUAAAUCCGGAACGUUAUUAACGCUGAGGUGUGAUGACGAGGCACUACGGUGCUGAAGUGACAAAUGCCCUGCUUCCAGGAAAAGCCUCUAAGCAUCAGGUAACAUCAAAUCGUACCCCAAACCGACACAGGUGGUCAGGUAGAGAAUACCAAGGCGCUUGAGAGAACUCGGGUGAAGGAACUAGGCAAAAUGGUGCCGUAACUUCGGGAGAAGGCACGCUGAUGGUAAGUGAAGUGACUUGCUCAUGGAGCUGAAAUCAGUCGAAGAUACCAGCUGGCUGCAACUGUUUAUUAAAAACACAGCACUGUGCAAACACGAAAGUGGACGUAUACGGUGUGACGCCUGCCCGGUGCCGGAAGGUUAAUUGAUGGGGUUAUCCUCGCGGAGAAGCUCUUGAUCGAAGCCCCGGUAAACGGCGGCCGUAACUAUAACGGUCCUAAGGUAGCGAAAUUCCUUGUCGGGUAAGUUCCGACCUGCACGAAUGGCGUAAUGAUGGCCAGGCUGUCUCCACCCGAGACUCAGUGAAAUUGAACUCGCUGUGAAGAUGCAGUGUACCCGCGGCAAGACGGAAAGACCCCGUGAACCUUUACUAUAGCUUGACACUGAACACUGGUCCUUGAUGUGUAGGAUAGGUGGGAGGCUUUGAAGUGUGGACGCCAGUCUGCAUGGAGCCGUCCUUGAAAUACCACCCUUUAAUGGCUGGUGUUCUAACGUGGGCCCGUGAUCCGGGUUGCGGACAGUGUCUGGUGGGUAGUUUGACUGGGGCGGUCUCCUCCUAAAGAGUAACGGAGGAGCACGAAGGUCAGCUAAUCCUGGUCGGACAUCAGGAGGUUAGUGCAAUGGCAUAAGCUGGCUUGACUGCGAGCGUGACGGCGCGAGCAGGUGCGAAAGCAGGUCAUAGUGAUCCGGUGGUUCUGAAUGGAAGGGCCAUCGCUCAACGGAUAAAAGGUACUCCGGGGAUAACAGGCUGAUACCGCCCAAGAGUUCAUAUCGACGGCGGUGUUUGGCACCUCGAUGUCGGCUCAUCACAUCCUGGGGCUGAAGUAGGUCCCAAGGGUAUGGCUGUUCGCCAUUUAAAGUGGUACGCGAGCUGGGUUUAGAACGUCGUGAGACAGUUCGGUCCCUAUCUGCCGUGGGCGCUGGAGAAUUGAGGGGGGCUGCUCCUAGUACGAGAGGACCGGAGUGGACGCAUCACUGGUGUUCGGGUUGUCAUGCCAAUGGCAUUGCCCGGUAGCUAAAUGCGGAAGAGAUAAGUGCUGAAAGCAUCUAAGCACGAAACUUGCCCCGAGAUGAGUUCUCCCUGACCCUUUAAGGGUCCUGAAGGAACGUUGAAGACGACGACGUUGAUAGGCCGGGUGUGUAAGCGCAGCGAUGCGUUGAGCUAACCGGUACUAAUGAACCGUGAGGCUUAACCUU
rnacentral:rRNA from 1 species